rnacentral:rRNA from 1 species
GACGAACGCUGGCGGCGUGCUUAACACAUGCAAGUCGAACGGAAAGGCUCCAGCUUGCUGGCGUACUCGAGUGGCGAACGGGUGAGUAACACGUGGGUAAUCUGCCCUGCACUCUGGGAUAAGCCUGGGAAACUGGGUCUAAUACUGGAUAUGACCUUUCUCCUUAUGGGGUUUGGUGGAAAGUUUUUCGGUGUAGGAUGAGCCCGCGGCCUAUCAGCUUGUUGGCGGGGUGAUGGCCUACCAAGGCGACGACGGGUAGCCGGCCUGAGAGGGUGAUCGGCCACAUUGGGACUGAGAUACGGCCCAGACUCCUACGGGAGGCAGCAGUGGGGAAUAUUGCACAAUGGGCGGAAGCCUGAUGCAGCGACGCCGCGUGAGGGAUGACGGCCUUCGGGUUGUAAACCUCUUUCAGCAGGGACGAAGCGUAAGUGACGGUACCUGCAGAAGAAGCACCGGCUAACUAUGUG